GGCACUUGCAACUUUAUUGCGCCAGCAAGAACAUGCAUACAGCCCAGUCUAACGUACAGGAUCAAAAAGAGACCUUAUUUCGGCUGGCAAUUACCUUACCCGCUUGUUCAUUAUCUGACUCCUGCACUCCUCCCAAGUGUUCAAUGUUAACCAGAUGGCAAAGUUAACCAGACAGAGGAAAUCCACAUAAUUACUCUAGAUGAAGCCCCCUAACUGCGGAUUAGAAGGAAAAGAGAUGAAGGGUGCUGCACUAAUAAUAACAACCAUUUUCAACCAAGGCAGGAUUCUGGGCCUAGAAUCUUCAGUGACAAAUUACCAGGAGAGGAGGAGGGAAAUGAAGAGCUGGAGGCCUAGGGAGAUGGUGUGAGGAGAGGAGACUGUGCCUUUCCACUUCUUAAUAAUUAAUGUUCUCCUGCUGCUCUGAGUCUGCAUCACCAGUGAUUCAGUUUGAGUCAGACAUCCAACAACAACUGAGCAAAAGAAUCAUCUCAGAUCCAAGCAAUGGUGACGCGCAGAUAGAAGAGACUGAGGCCAACGACCAAAGCAAAGGACAGCAGAACUGACUGACACAGCUCAGAAAAUAUCCAAAGCUCUGUAUGCUCUGGAAAGGAAGACAAGAAAUGCUAAAGACUCUGGAUAUUGCUCUGUUUCUAUAAGGUCCCACCCAUAUACCAUCUCUUCUUUUGGAUUUCCUUUGGCAGGGUUCCCUUGUAUGGAAGUUCUCAGGAGAACAACACUCUCAGAGUCCCACUGUCUCAAAGAAUUCUUAAUGGACAGGACAGAUUCCAAGCCUCUUGGAUAAGACUGAAGCCCUCCAUCACAGCCCAUCAAUCCGUUUCCUGGAGUUCGGAACCACAGCCAUGUGCCUCAUCAGUGUAAGACUGAGUCUCAGCUCUCACUUCAAGGAGGACUCAAGACAAGCAAAAGAAGUAAACUUUUGCUGGGUGCAGUGGCUCACGCCUGUAAUCCCGGCACUUUGGGAGGCCAAGGUGGUGGAUUACUUGAGGUCAGCAGUUUGAGACCAGCCUGACCAACAUGAUGAAACGUUAUCUGUACUAAAAAUACAAAAAUUAGGCUGGGCGCCAUGGCUCAUCCCUGUAAUCCCAGCACUUUGGGAGACCGAGGUGGGUGGAUCACCUGAGGUCAGAAGUUUGAGACCAGCCUGGGCAACAGAAUGAAACCCCAUCUCUACUAAAAAUACAAAAAUAAACUGGGUGUGGUGGCA
rnacentral:lncRNA from 1 species